GAGCUGCGAGAAGCCAUCGCGGCUUUGGGAGGCCGUUUCUGAACGUGAAGUUCCGUUUCUUUUCUCAUAAAGUGCAGAGGAGAAAAGGAUACUUAAAAUAACCAUGCGAGUGAUAGAAAUUAAUAUCAGUAGACCGCUUUCACACUUCACCCUUUGCUCAGUCCUCUCACGGGGUGGAGACUAGACAGGGCAUGUGUUGAAGGCCAAAAGAAUGAGGGUCAUGAUCAACUCAGCAUACAACUGAAGGCUAUAUGAGUAAACAGCAAACUGUUUCUCAUGAAAGCAGGAUGUUGGCAAACUGACAAACUGCAUCUGCCACCCAGAAGGAAUGCCGAGGGGAGUCACAACCCAGGCACAGGUGUUUCUUGUGAUUAGGCACAUCUGAAGCCUGUUAGCAAUAACGUGAACCUGUGAUCAAUCAAGCAGCUGACCAAUUGUUACCUCCUUCUCCCUGCUCUUUCUACCCAAUAAAUACGAAGGGCUGCAGAAGCUCAGGGGCUGCUGCCUUUGCUCACUAGAAGCAAGGAGCCCUCUUCUUCUUCCCCUGGUCCCUUCCUUUAAAACA